UGUGGGAGCGGGCUUGCUCGCGAAUACGGAGUGUCAGUCAACAGAUCCAUUGGCUGAUCCACCGCAAUCGCGAGCAAGCCCGCUCCCACA
rnacentral:misc_RNA from 1 species